rnacentral:rRNA from 1 species
CUUAACACAUGCAAGUCGAACGGAAAGGCCCUGCUUUUGUGGGGUGCUCGAGUGGCGAACGGGUGAGUAACACGUGAGUAACCUGCCCUUGACUUUGGGAUAACUUCAGGAAACUGGGGCUAAUACCGGAUAGGAGCUCCUGCUGCAUGGUGGGGGUUGGAAAGUUUCGGCGGUUGGGGAUGGACUCGCGGCUUAUCAGCUUGUUGGUGGGGUAGUGGCUUACCAAGGCUUUGACGGGUAGCCGGCCUGAGAGGGUGACCGGCCACAUUGGGACUGAGAUACGGCCCAGACUCCUACGGGAGGCAGCAGUGGGGAAUAUUGCACAAUGGGCGGAAGCCUGAUGCAGCAACGCCGCGUGCGGGAUGACGGCCUUCGGGUUGUAAACCGCUUUCGCCUGUGACGAAGCGUGAGUGACGGUAAUGGGUAAAGAAGCACCGGCUAACUACGUGCCAGCAGCCGCGGUGAUACGUAGGGUGCGAGCGUUGUCCGGAUUUAUUGGGCGUAAAGGGCUCGUAGGUGGUUGAUCGCGUCGGAAGUGUAAUCUUGGGGCUUAACCCUGAGCGUGCUUUCGAUACGGGUUGACUUGAGGAAGGUAGGGGAGAAUGGAAUUCCUGGUGGAGCGGUGGAAUGCGCAGAUAUCAGGAGGAACACCAGUGGCGAAGGCGGUUCUCUGGGCCUUUCCUGACGCUGAGGAGCGAAAGCGUGGGGAGCGAACAGGCUUAGAUACCCUGGUAGUCCACGCUGUAAACGGUGGGUACUAGGUGUGGGGUCCAUUCCACGGGUUCCGUGCCGUAGCUAACGCUUUAAGUACCCCGCCUGGGGAGUACGGCCGCAAGGCUAAAACUCAAAGGAAUUGACGGGGCCCCGCACAAGCGGCGGAGCAUGCGGAUUAAUUCGAUGCAACGCGUAGAACCUUACCUGGGUUUGACAUGGAUCGGGAGUGCUCAGAGAUGGGUGUGCCUCUUUUGGGGUCGGUUCACAGGUGGUGCAUGGCUGUCGUCAGCUCGUGUCGUGAGAUGUUGGGUUAAGUCCCGCAACGAGCGCAACCCUUGUUCACUGUUGCCAGCACGUUAUGGUGGGGACUCAGUGGAGACCGCCGGGGUCAACUCGGAGGAAGGUGGGGAUGACGUCAAGUCAUCAUGCCCCUUAUGUCCAGGGCUUCACGCAUGCUACAAUGGCUGGUACAGAGAGUGGCGAGCCUGUGAGGGUGAGCGAAUCUCGGAAAGCCGGUCUCAGUUCGGAUUGGGGUCUGCAACUCGACCUCAUGAAGUCGGAGUCGCUAGUAAUCGCAGAUCAGCAACGCUGCGGUGAAUACGUUCCCGGGGCUUGUACACACCGCCCGUCAAGUCAUGAAAGUUGGUAACACCCGAAGCCGGUGGCCUAACCGUUGUGGGGGAGCCGUCGAAGGUGGGACUGGUGAUUAGGACUAAA